rnacentral:rRNA from 1 species
CCUACGGGAGGCUGCAGUGGGGAAUAUUGGGCAAUGUGCGCAAGCCUGACCCAGCAACGCCGCGUGAAGGAAGAAGGCUUUCGGGUUGUAAACUUCUUUUCUGAGGGACGAAGAAAGUGACGGUACCUCAGGAAUAAGCCACGGCUAACUACGUGACAGCAGCCGCGGUAAUACGUAGGUGGCCAGCGUUAUCCGGAUUUAUUGGUUGUAAAGGGCCAGUAGGCGGGAAAGCAAGUCAGAUGUGAAAACUCAGGGCUCAACCCUGAGCCUGCAUUUUAAACUGUUUUUCGUGAGUGGUGGAGAGGGAAGCGGAAGUCCGGGUGUAGCGGUGAAAUGCGUAGAUAUACGGAGGAACACCAGUGGCGAAGGCGGAUUGCUGGACAGUAACUGACGCUGAGGCGCGAAAGCGUGGGGAGCAAACAGGAUUAGAUACCCGGGUAGUC